UACGAAGGGGGCUAGCGUUGUUCGGAAUUACUGGGCGUAAAGCGUGCGCAGGCGGCUUCUCAAGUCAGGGGUGAAAGCCCAGAGCUCAACUCUGGAAUUGCCUUUGAGACUGAGUGGCUUGAGUACGAGAGAGGUGAGUGGAAUUCCCAGUGUAGAGGUGAAAUUCGUAGAUAUUGGGAAGAACACCGGUGGCGAAGGCGGCUCACUGGCUCGUAACUGACGCUC
rnacentral:rRNA from 1 species